GACGAACGCUGGCGGCGUGCCUAAUACAUGCAAGUAGAACGCUGAAGGAGGAGCUUGCUUCUCUGGAUGAGCUGCGAACGGGUGAGUAACGCGUAGGUAACCUGCCUGGUAGCGGGGGAUAACUAUUGGAAACGAUAGCUAAUACCGCAUAAGAGUAGAUGUCGCAUGACAUUUGCUUAAAAGGUGCAAUUGCAUCACUACCAGAUGGACCUGCGUUGUAUUAGCUAGUUGGUGAGGUAACGGCUCACCAAGGCAACGAUACAUAGCCGGCCUGAGAGGGUGAUCGGCCACACUGGGACUGAGACACGGCCCAGACUCCUACGGGAGGCAGCAGUAGGGAAUCUUCGGCAAUGGACGGAAGUCUGACCGAGCAACGCCGCGUGAGUGAAGAAGGUUUUCGGAUCGUAAAGCUCUGUUGUAAGAGAAGAACGAGUGUGAGAGUGGAAAGUUCACACUGUGACGGUAGCUUACCAGAAAGGGACGGCUAACUACGUG
rnacentral:rRNA from 1 species